GGUCUUAUGGUCUAGUGGUAUGAUUCUCGCUUAGGGUUCACCCGAAGCUAUUCUGCGAGAGGUCCCGCGUUCGAGUCGCGGUAAGACCC
rnacentral:tRNA from 2 species